UACGGAGGAUGCAAGCGUUAUCCGGAUUUAUUGGGUUUAAAGGGUGCGCAGGCGGUUCGUUAAGUUAGAGGUGAAAUCCCGUGGCUCAACCACGGAACUGCCUCUGAUACUGGCGGGCUAGAGAGAGGUUGCUGUGGGCGGAAUGUGUGGUGUAGCGGUGAAAUGCUUAGAGAUCACACAGAACACCGAUUGCGAAGGCAGCUCACAAAGCCUCAUCUGACGCUCAUGCACGAAAGCGUGGGGAGCAAACAGGAUUA
rnacentral:rRNA from 1 species